UGCGAGUCAAGGAGAGAGACCUCAGGAGCACCUACCGAUACUCUGACCUUGGACCUGGAGUCUCCAGAACUGUGAGGGAAUAUGUUUCUGUUGUUGAAAUCACCCGGACUGUGGAAUCGUGCUAUGGCACCCCUAGCAAACUCCUACACAGCCCUGGAAACGCACGAGGGAGGCUUGGAGGGUGCAGAGGGAGCACGGCUGGGUCGCCUGGGUCGCGACUAUCUAAAUGUAGACCAUUAGAGGCACACGGAAGAUUCAUACGUCUUGGCAAAAAGAACCUUCCAACAUGGGCACCUACACCAUUCAGCGAAGAGAUGUCUUCUAGAUUUGUUAUGGACGCAGAUGUCGGCAUGCUUAACUUACUUACGAAAAGUGAAAAACCGAAUAAAGACUUUCCCACCUAAUGAGGCUUGAUUGGCAACGCCGGCAGAUUUUGAGAGGCAAUUCUCGUGCCAUUUGAGAAAGGAACACUGAGUUUUACACAAUGAGAAAACAAUGACCAGAUUACAAUUCUGGCUAAUGGUGUUAAGCCACUAACACUCUUCUGGUAUAAACCUUAAUUUUCUGAAAUGUGUAACUAAGACAGACCCUAAUCCCAGAUGAAAUUUAAUUGAAGGUUGUUUUUAAAAACCUGGCAGGAGAUAUUUCUCUUUGGCGUGCUGCCAACUAAAACGGACUCUGGACAUUUCUUCAUUGUUACUUCAGCCAAGUUAGACCAUAAUGAGAACCAGUCUUUUGGACUUUAACCCGACAGCUUAAACAAGAUUUAAAAUCUAGCUUCUUUAUUAAAAUACAUUAACAAGUGUUUUCAAAAAGCUUGGCAAUUAAUGUAUACAUAUUUAUCCAUAAGAGUAAGUAACAUACAUAGGCAAAUAUAACCAAAGGCAAAAUAUAGUGUGCCUGUGCUCAUUUAUACUUGCGGACAAGGGAUUUCUAUUCCCUACGUGAAGCUUUCCUGCAUUAACAGUAGAGGAAAAAUUAGUUCAAUACAUCAAUAUGAAGAGAAAACGCAGCUAAAACAGAAGGCUAACGUACUGGAUAAAUUAGGUCAGAAGAUCUUGUUAGAGACCCUUAUAAUUUACGUAAGUUACAUUUGUGACGCUUGACAAAAUUGUAAUUGAGUAAAUAUCAGCCUAAUUGGUUUGUUGCUCAUCUCCCCAUGAGAAAGCAGGGGAGCGAAAGCCUUGUUCUGAGGAGCAACUGUUUACCUAGAGAGAAGGGCAAAGAGAACGAAUGGUUACUGUCUGUCUACUACAGGUCAGCUCCUAUGGUAUAGACGCUUCAUUUCUUUUAAUACUUCAUAGCUCUGUACAGAAAGAAACAGGGUCUCCAUGAAGUGCUGAGAGAUUGGGAUACAAGAAGGGAGCCCGGGUGACUCAGUCGGUUAAACGUCUGACUCUGGAUUUUGGCUCCGGUCAUGAUCUCACGGUUUCUGAGUUUGAGCCCUGCAUUAGGCUGUGUGCUGACAAUGUGGAGCCUGCUUGGGAUUCUCUGUCCCCCUCUCUCUCUUCCACUCUGCUCCUCUCUCUCUCUCUCUCUUUC